rnacentral:rRNA from 1 species
GAUGAACGCUGGCGGCGUGCUUAACACAUGCAAGUCGAACGGUGAAGCAGGAGCUUGCUCUUGUGGAUCAGUGGCGAACGGGUGAGUAACACGUGAGCAACCUGCCCCUGACUCUGGGAUAAGCGCUGGAAACGGCGUCUAAUACUGGAUAUGUGAUGUGACCGCAUGGUCUGCAUCUGGAAAGAAUUUCGGUUGGGGAUGGGCUCGCGGCCUAUCAGCUUGUUGGUGAGGUAAUGGCUCACCAAGGCGUCGACGGGUAGCCGGCCUGAGAGGGUGACCGGCCACACUGGGACUGCGACACGGCCCAGACUCCUACGAGAGGCAGCAGUGGGAAAUAUUGCACAAUGGGCGGAAGCCUGAUGCAGCAACGCCGCGUGAGGGAUGACGGCCUUCGGGUUGUAAACCUCUUUUAGCAGGGAAGAAGCGAAAGUGACGGUACCUGCAGAAAAAGCACCGGCUAACUACGUGCCAGCAGCCGCCGUAA